AACUUUGAAGAGAAGCUGAAGAAGAAAACGCUCACCUCCGGCUGCGCACAAGGCACAGCCUUCGGCGACCUUAUGGAGGCGAUCGAAGGUGUGACCCUGCCCAAGGCGGAGUUACGCACAUCGUGGCUUUAUCAGAUGACCCAUGCCGUCAACACAGCGCCCUCGCUCUAUCUCGAAGCCGGUGCCAUCCAUGGCUGUGUG
rnacentral:misc_RNA from 1 species